AACUAUGCCAUUUUUGGGUCAGGACUGGAGAUCUCCUGGAUGGAGCUGGAUUAAGACAGAAGAUGGCUGGAAGAGAUGUGAAUCCUGGAGUCGGGACCUGGAAAGAGAGACUAACCCGCGUACUAUCAGUCACAGCAUUAUCUUAAAUAGUGACGAUGAAGAAAUAUUCAGUAAUGAAGAGCAGGAAUACACAUCCAAAAAGAGGAAAAAGGAUCAUUUUAGAAAUGAUACAGAUACUCAAUGUUUUUAUCGUGAGAAAUGGAUCUAUGUCCAUAAAGAAAGCACGAGAGAAAGGCACGGCUAUUGUACUUUGGGAGAAGCUUUUAAUCGCUUAGACUUCUCAAGUGCAAUUCAGGAUAUUCGAAGGUUCACCUACGUGGUCAAAGUAAGUCUUCUGUUUCAAAAGCCAUUUCGAGGACACUUGAUGGGCUGGGUUUUGAAGGUGACGAGUGUACAUAUUCAAGACGCUUCUGGCGCUGGUGCUAAGUUGUGUUUGUGACGGCAGGCAGAGCACGAGGAGUGAGCUCAGGAGGAGAUGGAAAUAGUGGGGGUUUCUCCCACGCUGGUGCCCCUCGUCCCACGCGCUUUCUCCUGGGGCCGCCCCAUGUUGCCAGUUUCACCCAGCCGCAUGCGCAGGUGCAUUGCCGUGGGAGACCCGGGGGGUGAGCACAGGCUCUUCCCGAGACUCUGACCUGAUGGUUUCACCUGCAUUUUCCACUCUGUGUCCCCCACAAGCGUGAGCUCUGCUCCAGAGACAAGCAGCGAGCUGGUAGGAGAAAGGGGAUUGACACAGAGUGGGUCUCCACAGAAGCCUGGAUUGCACCUUGAUGGCACUGAUGAUCUGUUUGUAGAGGACAUUUUUAUCUUGGCUCAAAAAGAAUAUAUAUCCUAUGUAAUGUGUAUUACAGGCAAAGUUUCCUUAACGGCUUCCAGGGAAUUAAAAGUGUUAGUGGCAGGACAGAAAUACUAGGGUUAAAUCACUUUACACCUAAUGUAAUAGUACCUGUUUGGUUUGGCCCCAGUCAGAGCUUGCCAGGGCGCCGUGUGUGACCAGUGUGUGGGGGCCCGUCUGCUGCCCAUGCUUCCUGGGAGUCCCGCUCUCUGGGCUGA